AGUGAACGCUGGCGGUAGGCCUAACACCUGCAAGUCGAACGUCCGCACAGUAAGAGCUUGCUCUUACGGGUGGCGAGUGGCGGCCGGGUGAGGAAUACAUCGGAAUCUACUUUUUCGUGGAGGAUAACGUACGGAAACUUACGCUAAUACCGCAUACGACCUACGGCUGAAAGCAGGGGAUCUUCGGACCUUGCGCGAUUGAAUGCGCCGAUGUCGGAUUAGCUAGUUGGCGGGGUAAAGGCCCACCAAGCCGACGGUCCGUAGCUGGUCUGCGAUGAUGAUCAGCCACACUGGAACUGAGACACGGUCCAGACUACUACGGGAGGCAGCAGUCGGGAAUAGUGGACAAUGGGCGCAAGCCUGAUCCAGGCAUACCGCGUGGGUGAAGAAGGCCUUCGGGUGGUAAAGCCCUCUUGUUGGGAAAGAAAAGCAGCAGGUUAAUACCCCGCUGUUCUGACGGUACCCAAAGAAUAAGCACCGGCUAACUUCGUG
rnacentral:rRNA from 1 species